GCUUUAUUGACUCAUUGACAGAGCGUCUGUCUCGUAAACAGAAGGUCGCUGGUUCGAUUCCGGCGUGAGGCA
rfam:Caenorhabditis brenneri strain PB2801 C_brenneri-6.0.1_Cont397.3, whole genome shotgun sequence.